CCAGACUCCUACGGGAGGCAGCAGUGAGGAAUAUUGGUCAAUGGUCGGGAGACUGAACCAGCCAAGCCGCGUGAGGGAUGAAGGUACAGAGUAUCGUAAACCUCUUUUGUCAGGGAACAAAGGCGGGGACGUGUCCCCGGAUGAGUGUACCUGAAGAAAAAGCAUCGGCUAACUCCGUGCCAGCAGCCGCGGUAAUACGGAGGAUGCGAGCGUUAUCCGGAUUUAUUGGGUUUAAAGGGUGCGUAGGCGGGCUGUUAAGUCAGCGGUCAAAUGUCGGGGCUCAACCCCGGCCUGCCGUUGAAACUGCAUCCCUUGAGUGCGCGAGAAGUAUGCGGAAUGCGUGGUGUAGCGGUGAAAUGCAUAGAUAUCACGCAGAACUCCGAUUGCGGAGGCAGCAUACCGGCGCUCAACUGACGCUCAUGCACGAAAGCGUGGGUAUCGAACAGGAUUAGAUACCCGCGUACA
rnacentral:rRNA from 1 species